GGGUCAGUAGGUUGGUCGUGCCACCGGUACGUACUGGUCUCACUGACUCCUCCUUCCUGAAGAACCGUAAUGUCAUUAAUUUGGUGUUGCGGGGAAACAGGACUGUUACUUUGAAAAAAUUAGAGUGUUUAAAGCAAGCUAACGCUUGAAUACAUUAGCAUGGAAUAAUGAAAUAGGACGAUCGAUCCUAUUUUGUUGGUUUCCAGGAUUGACGUA
rnacentral:rRNA from 1 species